CCAGCUGUCAAAGAAAUGUGGUGGAGCGCGUACUUUUUGAUUUUUUUUUUAUAGCUUUUAUCGCAGUACAAUGGGCGUUCCAGAUAGCAAAUAUCCGAACUCUUAAAAAGAGCGGAAUAAAGUUUUUAGUAAACAUGGGAAAUCCGGCAUUUAAAUUGCUUUGGCUGACAAGAAACUGUUCGAGCAAGCAACGCAUAUUACAUUAAUGGAGCCAGUUUAUCGUAGGAUAAUUAGUGGGAACCAUAUCUUAAAAGAAGCUCAACGGAUGUAACAAGUAAAAGGAUGACUAAAAUCGAAGAGACAAAGGCUGAAAGGAGGAGGUUGUGAAGAAAUUUGCAAAUUGGAGCUUAUUUCAAAUGCAUUCAUAAACAUAUACAAAUGUAUGUAUAUAUGUAUGUAUACUAUACACAUCGUAACUUGUACUAACAAUCUCCCAAAAGUUCAUACAAAUUAUAAAAAAUGGAAUGAAUAAAUCCAUGAAUUAGAAACGAAAA